UGGGGAAUAUUGGGCAAUGGGCGCAAGCCUGACCCAGCGACGCCGCGUGGGUGAUGAAGGCCUUCGGGUCGUAAAGCCCUGUCGGGUGGAAAGAACGAUGGGGGAGUGAAUAGCUCUUUCAUGUGACGGUACCACCGAAGGAAGCACCGGCCAAUUCCGUGCCAGCAGCCGCGGUAAGACGGAAGGUGCAAGCGUUGCUCGGAAUCACUGGGCGUAAAGGGUGCGUAGGCGGCCGCGCAAGUCUGGCGUGAAAGCCCCGGGCUCAGCCCGGGAAGGGCGCUCGAAACGGCGCGGCUGGAGUGCCGGAGGGGAGAGUGGAAUUCCUGGUGUAGCGGUGAAAUGCGUAGAUAUCAGGAGGAAUACCGGUGGCGAAAGCGACUCUCUGGACGGCAACUGACGCUGAGGCACGAAAGCGUGGGGAGCAAACAG
rnacentral:rRNA from 1 species